rnacentral:rRNA from 1 species
UACGAAGGGGGCUAGCGUUGCUCGGAAUCACUGGGCGUAAAGCGCACGUAGGCGGCUUUGUAAGUUAGAGGUGAAAGCCCGGAGCUCAACUCCGGAAUUGCCUUUAAGACUGCAUCGCUAGAAUCAUGGAGAGGUGAGUGGAAUUCCGAGUGUAGAGGUGAAAUUCGUAGAUAUUCGGAAGAACACCAGUGGCGAAGGCGACUCACUGGACAUGUAUUGACGCUGAGGUGCGAAAGCGUGGGGAGCAAACAGG